rnacentral:rRNA from 1 species
UACGGAGGGUGCAAGCGUUAUCCGGAUUUAUUGGGCGUAAAGAGCUCGUAGGCGGUUUGUUGCGUCGGCUGUGAAAUCCCGAGGCUCAACCUCGGGUCUGCAGUCGAUACGAGCAAACUAGAGUGUUGCAGGGGAGACUGGAAUUCCUGGUGUAGCGGUGAAAUGCGCAGAUAUCAGGAAGAACACCCGUGGCGGAAGGCGGCUCUCUGGGACGGUAC